GAUGAACGCUGGCGGCGUGCUUAACACAUGCAAGUCGAACGGGAAUUACUUUAUUGAAACUUCGGUCGAUUUAAUUUAAUUCUAGUGGCGGACGGGUGAGUAACGCGUGGGUAACCUGCCUUAUACAGGGGGAUAACAGUCAGAAAUGGCUGCUAAUACCGCAUAAGCGCACAGAGCUGCAUGGCUCAGUGUGAAAAACUCUGGUGGUAUAAGAUGGACCCGCGUUGGAUUAGCUUGUUGGUGGGGUAACGGCCUACCAAGGCGACGAUCCAUAGCCGGCCUGAGAGGGUGAACGGCCACAUUGGGACUGAGACACGGCCCAGACUCCUACGGGAGGCAGCAGUGGGGAAUAUUGCACAAUGGGGGAAACCCUGAUGCAGCGACGCCGCGUGAAGGAAGAAGUAUUUCGGUAUGUAAACUUCUAUCAGCAGGGAAGAUAGUGACGGUACCUGAUUAAGAAGCCCCGGCUAACUACGUGCCAGCAGCCGCGGUAAUACGUAGGGGGCAAGCGUUAUCCGGAUUUACUGGGUGUAAAGGGAGCGUAGACGGUGUGGCAAGUCUGAUGUGAAAGGCAUGGGCUCAACCUGUGGACUGCAUUGGAAACUGUCAUACUUGAGUGCCGGAGGGGUAAGCGGAAUUCCUAGUGUAGCGGUGAAAUGCGUAGAUAUUAGGAGGAACACCAGUGGCGAAGGCGGCUUACUGGACGGUAACUGACGUUGAGGCUCGAAAGCGUGGGGAGCAAACAAGAUUAGAUACCCUGGUAGUCCACGCCGUAAACG
rnacentral:rRNA from 1 species